GGAAUAUUGGGCAAUGGGCGAAAGCCUGACCCAGCAACGCCGCGUGAGGGAAGAAGGGUUUCGGCUCGUAAACCUCUGUCCUGAAGGGCGAAAGAGAUGACGGUACUUCAGGAGGAAGCCCCGGCUAACUACGUGCCAGCAGCCGCGGUAAUACGUAGGGGGCGAGCGUUGUCCGGAAUGAUUGGGCGUAAAGGGCGCGUAGGCGGCCUGUUAAGUUAGGAGUGAAAGUCCUGCUUUCAAGGUGGGAAUUGCUUUUAAUACUGGCGGGCUGGAGUACAGGAGAGGAAAGCGGAAUUACCGGUGUAGCGGUGAAAUGCGUAGAGAUCGGUAGGAACACCAGUGGCGAAGGCGGCUUUCUGGACUGAAACUGACGCUGAGGCGCGAAAGCGUGGGGAGCAAACA
rnacentral:rRNA from 1 species